rnacentral:rRNA from 1 species
CCUACGGGAGGCAGCAGUGAGGAAUAUUGGUCAAUGGACGCAAGUCUGAACCAGCCAUGCCGCGUGCAGGAAGACGGCUCUAUGAGUUGUAAACUGCUUUUGUACGAGGGUAAACGCAGAUACGCGUAUCUGUCUGAAAGUAUCGUACGAAUAAGGAUCGGCUAACUCCGUGCCAGCAGCCGCGGUAAUACGGAGGAUUCAAGCGUUAUCCGGAUUUAUUGGGUUUAAAGGGUGCGUAGGCGGUCGGAUAAGUUAGAGGUGAAAUCCCGAGGCUCAACUUCGGAAUUGCCUCUGAUACUGGUAGGCUAGAGAGUAGUUGAGGUAGGCGGAAUGUAUGGUGUAGCGGUGAAAUGCUUAGAGAUCAGAAAGAACACCGAUUGCGAAGGCAGCUUACCAAGCUACUUCUGACGUUGAGGCACGAAAGCGUGGGGAGCAAACAGGAUUAGAUACCCGAGUAGUC